CCCUUAGAUGUUCUGGGCUGCACGCGCGCUACACUGGUGCACUCAACAAGUUUACAACCUUGAUCGAUAGGUCUGGGUAAUCUUUUGAAUAUGCACCGUGCUAGGGAUAGAUUAUUGCAAUUAUUAAUCUUGAACGAGGAAUUCCUAGUAAAUGCAAGUCAUCAGCUUGCGUUGAUUACGUCCCUGCCCUUGUACACACCGCCCGUCGCACCUACUGAUUGGAUGACUCGGUGAAGAAUCGGGACCGUGAGAACAAUCGAUUCAUUUCGAAUGUACUUGUGGGAACCUUUCUUAACCUCGUUUUCUAGAAGAAGGUGAAGUCGUAACA
rnacentral:rRNA from 1 species